rnacentral:rRNA from 1 species
AAAUUGAAGAGUUUGAUCAUGGCUCAGAUUGAACGCUGGCGGCAGGCCUAACACAUGCAAGUCGAGCGGUAACAUUUCUAGCUUGCUAGAAGAUGACGAGCGGCGGACGGGUGAGUACAACUUGGGAAUCUGCCUGAUGGAGGGGGACAACCACUGGAAACGGUGGCUAAUACCGCAUAAUUUCCCUUCUGUAACAAGAGGGGAGCAAAGAGGGGGAUCUUCGGACCUCUCGCCAUCAGAUGAGCCCAAGCAAGAUUAGGUAGUUGGUGGGGUAAUGGCCUACCAAGCCGACGAUCUUUAGCUGGUCUGAGAGGAUGAUCAGCCACAC